rnacentral:lncRNA from 1 species
GUAUAAAUAUUUAUCUCGAUCGAAUCGAUCCGGAGUUCCUGGCUGUAUCAGUCUACCAUACGGAGUAUAUCCAUAACCCAUAGCUAGGGAAAACGUAAUUUAUGAACGAUCCGCUAGCUAAUGCUGCCCGAAGCAACGACUGGCGCGCCGUCCUUGCUCUGCCUGUGCCGUAACAUGGACUUCGAGGAUGUAUAUAUACAAAAAGUUUCGACGUACAACCGUCACGUGCAUCGAAACGCUCUAUCGUGCUACCGGUAAAACCGAAUCAGGAGAAAACAAUUGGUGAACGUGACGAGGAUAACACAUGGAUGAUGCCAGAGGCUAGCUGCCCUGGCAUGUUAUAGUCAAGCCGUCAGUAUAAUACUAGUAGCUGUAGUACUGCACCAAGCAGAGAGUUGGCCGGUUUUGGAUACUGAUGUCGAGGAGGCGGUUACUUGGAGCAAAGAACGAGAGCAAGCACGGGCGGGCGGACGACUUUGCUUGUGUCGAUGGACGCGUCAACGCGUGCACCAUGUUGGGGCUGCCGAAUCCGUGUUGGACAUCGCAGAUCCCUGUGCAAAAGCACCGCUCGAUCGUUUUUUUUUUUUUUGAAACAAGUCAGCUAGCACAAGUAAGCAAUCUCUACCUAGCUUGCUAUCUUGAUAUCCGAAAGAGCAUCCCAUGCUUAAAGAACAACGCUCCGGUAUACCAACCCAUUCCAUUUCCAUCAGGAGCGCUGUUGUAAGUGAGCUAUGAGCCUAGGAUCGACCGAUAGGACGGUAGGAUCAGUAGCAUGAACAUCGGCAUGACCAUUUCCUCAAAUCAAACGUACCCAGUGACCUGAUACUAUUAACUCCGGUGUUUUUUCUGCUGAGUGACCUGAUACUAUUAAUUCCGGUGGCUUUUCUGCUCAGUGAUCGACGAGUCAGCACUGCACUGGCACUCUGCGAACGGGGAGGCCCCGGCCGGCAUGCGGCACUGUAGUACUGUCACCGCACAGCGAGAAACGUGUGGUUUAUACUCUACGCAGUACUCCUACCACGUACAGAUGCGAGCACGCACGCGCGCCGGCCGGCCCGCGCGAAAAGCAUCUUACCGCUUACUCCUAGGCCGAACAAAAGCUGCAGGUACGUGUACCGUGUACGACAUUUGCUCAGUUCGUACUUCGCAUACAUACACCACG